GUGCUGAAGGCUUUGAGCCUAGAGGUUUGGUGUUCCAGUCUUGUGCCCAUUCAUUUUUUCGUUUUUAGAGCAACUCCAAUGGGCCUCCUAAACAGGCCCGCUCAUUUUUUUCGUUCUUAGAGCAACUCCAAUGGGCCUCGUCUUCAUCCUAAAUUUUAGGAGUUUGGAUGGAGGCCCCCACUCGGCCUCUCUCUCUCCGACGCCACCGCCGGCCGCGGCCACCGCGCCCCGACGCGGCCUCCCUCUCCCCCGACGCCACCGCCGGCCGCGGCCACCGCGCCCCGACGCGGCCACCCGUGUACGCUGUGAUUUUGCUUGAUUCGUUGACGUGUGCGCGUACUCUCUUCCGGUGGUCCGCAGAAAGUGUUCGAGAACCACCGCAUCGUCUUCACCGUCGGCACCUCCAUCGCCUCCGUCCUCACGGCUUGGGCCGGCUAUUCACUUCGUCAGGUGCAUCAAUCAAGGAUUGAAAGGAGGCUUGAGUCAAUUGAAUCAUCUGAAAUUUUCAAAUCUGCCAACAAGAGCACAGCAGAGCAGAUAUAAACUGACCAUGUUGAAUCAUAGGCUCAUUGCACCUCCGCACGGCAAUCGCACCUCCGCUGGCCGGCGAACCCUAGCGCCGCCGGUGUUGCCUAUGGACGGCAGCGCGUCAUCAGGAGGAUUCUCCGGAGCCGGGCUGCCUCCCCGUCCGACGGUGUCUACCACGCGACAUCGUCCGUUCGUCGCGCCGCAUUCCCGUGCUGCGACAUCGUCUUCUCUCGAUGCCAACCUACCUCGUCGCCAAGAACUUCCUUCCCCCGGCAGCGACGGCAGCGGCAGCAGGAUUCCUUCCCCCGGCAGCGGCAGCGACGGCAGCAGGAUGCAUACUACAAUUACUUUGGUUCUUGCAUCCUACAAUUACUCCAUGUUUAACUGAGAAUGAUGUGCUGGGACGGGAAUGAAUUAUUUGGAUCAGGGAUCUGUUGCCUCUGAUUAGCAUGACAGUGUUCCUCUUUGUUUGUUGGUUGUAUUCAGAGCUGAGUUUUAUUGUUUCUAUUUGUUUUUCAACAUACCCUAGCUUUAUUGUUAAAUCUGUGAAAUCUGUGAAAUCUGUAAGGCAGAUUUCUGUAAGGCAGAUUUCUAAGAAGUGCUGUAUGCCUCUCCUAGUUUUAUUGUUAAAUCUGUGAAGAAUCCAAAGGUUGGAUUCA